CCAUAGCUCAGUUGGUUAGAGCAACUGACUCAUAAUCAGUGGGUCACAGGUUCAAGCCCUGUUGGGA
rnacentral:tRNA from 1 species